rnacentral:rRNA from 1 species
CAGUCGCCACGGGAACACGUAGGGCGCGAGCGUUGUCCGGAAUUAUUGGGCGUAAAGAGCUCGUAGGCGGCUGGUCGCGUCUGUCGUGAAAUCCUCUGGCUUAACUGGGGGCUUGCGGUGGGUACAGGCCGGCUUGAGUGCGGUAGGGGAGACUGGAACUCCUGGUGUAGCGGUGGAAUGCGCAGAUAUCAGGAAGAACACCGGUGGCGAAGGCGGCUCACUGGCCCGAUACUGACGCUGAGGCACGAAAGCGUGGGGAGCAAACAGGAUUAGAUACCCCCGUAGUCCCUGUCUCUUAUAC